rnacentral:rRNA from 1 species
ACUCAAAUGAAUUGACGGGGGAGCGCACAACCAGUGGAGCAUGUGGUUUAAUUCGAUACGAAGCGAAAAACCUUACCUGGGUUUGACAUGUACCUGCACAGCUAUGGAAACAUAGCCUUCUUCGAGAGUGGUACACAGGUGAUGCAUGGCUGUCGUCAGCUCGUGUCGUGAGACGUCCGCUUAAGUGCGGUAACGAGCGCAACCCUUAUCGCCAGUUACAAGUGUCUGGCGAGACUGCCUUUGUUUUUACAAGGGAGGAAGGAGAGGACGACGUCAAGUCAGCACGUCCCUUACAUCCAGGGCGACACACAUCCUACAAUGGGACCGACAACGGGUAGCGACGGGGUAACCCUGAGCCAAUCCUUAUAAACGGUCCCUCAGUUCAGAUCGAGGGCUGCAAUUCGCCCUCGUGAAGCCGGAAUUGGUAGUAAUCGCAAAUCAUCAGGUUGCGGUGAAUACGUUCUCGCUCCUUGUACACACCGCCCGU